UACGUAGGGGGCAAGCGUUGUCCGGAUUUAUUGGGCGUAAAGAGCGUGUAGGCGGUUUGGUAGGUCCGCUGUGAAAACUCGAGGCUCAACCUCGAGACGCCGGUGGAAACCAUCAGGCUAGAGUCCGGAAGAGGAGAGUGGAAUUCCUGGUGUAGCGGUGAAAUGCGCAGAUAUCAGGAAGAACACCCGUGGCGAAGGCGGCUCUCUAGUACGGUACUGACGCUGAGACGCGAAAGCGUGGGGAGCGAACAGG
rnacentral:rRNA from 1 species